GAGUAGUAAAAAGGAAAUGGGGAAAGAACAAGUGGAAAUAGGUGGGAAUGGCACGAAAAAUAUGGGGGCAUUUUUCUCUCCUCUUUUUGGGUAUUGUACUGUUUUCCUGUUUCUUUGGUAUGGGUUUGGUACUAAAUUAUAUC
rnacentral:ribozyme from 1 species